rnacentral:rRNA from 1 species
AACGAACGCUGGCGGCAUGCCUAAUACAUGCAAGUCGAACGAGCACUUCGGGUCUUUUCUCGCCCGGGUUUGUAACGCGUGGGAACCUGCCCUUAUGUUUGGAAUAACUAUCCGACAGGGGUGCUUAUACCGGACAAUGUCUUCGGACCAAAGAUUUAUUGCAUUUGGUUGAUCCCGCGUUGGAUUAGCUAGUUGUUAGGGUAAUAGCCUACUACGGCGACGAUCCAUAGCUGGUCUGAGAGGAUGAUCAGCCACACUGAGACUAGGACGCGGCCUAGACUCCUACGGGAGGCAGCAGUGGCGAAUAGUGGACAAUGGGCGGAAGCCUGAUCCAGCAAGGCCGGGUGAGUGAUGAAGGCAGUAGAGAUGUAAAGCUCUUUUACCCGGGAUGAUAAUGACAGUACCGAAAGAAUAAGCCCCGGCUAACUCCGUG